rnacentral:rRNA from 1 species
CGGAGGGUGCGAGCGUUGUCCGGAUUUAUUGGGUUUAAAGGGUGCGUAGGCGGCUUUUUAAGUCUGGGUGAAGCCGCUGCUCAACAGCGGAACUGCCCUGGAUACUGGAGAGCUUGAGUACAGACGAGGUUGGCGGAAUGGACCGAGUAGCGGUGAAAUGCAUAGAUACGGUCCAGAACCCCGAUUGCGAAGGCAGCUGACUAGGCUGUUACUGACGCUGAGGCACGAAAGCGUGGGGAGCGAACAGGAUU